UGACAAGAAGAAUCUAUUUGUCUGGACAUGAAAAAAGACAAAAGAAGAGGCUUGAUGUAGAGUGGAGGCAAGAAGAUUAAGGUUCACUCACCUCCGUCGUGUCAGCUGGGCUCGCCACCCUGCCCUCUCCUCUCGGAUCCCCUCCACGGCGUCCUCCCAGCUCUUCCCUUUGCCUAGCCAGUCAGCCUGUGACCACACUCCUCCACCAACCCCCCGGCCGCUUCCUCGGCCCCCCCGGUGCCUCCCAGUUCCCUCGUCCCAGCCUCCUUGACCCCACCUGCUCCUCGGCCCACAGGGCUCCUCGGCUCCCUUGCCUCAGCCCCCUCAGUCCCACUUACUCCUCGGUCCCCCGCGCCCGUGUUCCCCCCGGCAUCCACCUCUCCCUCACCUCCACUUCCUCAACCCCUUUUUUCCCCUCAAAUCCUCUUUCACCUGAGCGUUGCUUUUGGGUCCUCUCUGUCCAACACACCAUAACAAUAAUAUUUCUGUUACUUAUUCUUUAACAAGAAGAUAUAUAAAACGGUGUUGAAGCAUGGCUUUAGUACAACAUAAAUUAAAGGAAUAUUGAGUGA